rnacentral:rRNA from 1 species
ACGGCUCAGUAACACGUAGUCAACAUGCCCAGAGGACGUGGAUAACCUAGCGUAAGGGACGAUAAACCACGAUAGGUCAUAAUAUCUGGAAUCGUUUUAGGGGUUUAAAUCUAUAUGGCCUCAGGAUUGGACUGCGGCCGAUCAGGCUGUUGGUGAGGUAAUGGCCCACCAAACCUGAAACCGGUACGGGCUCUGAGAGGAGAAGCCCGGAGAUGGGCACUGAGACAAGGGCCCAGGCCCUAUGGGGCGCAGCAGGCGCGAAAACUCUGCAAUAAGCGAAAGCUUGACAGGGUUAUUCUGAGUGAUUUCCGCUAAGGAAAUCUUUUGGCACCUCUAAAAAUGGUGCAGAAUAAGGGGUGGGCAAGCCUGGUGUCAGCCGCCGCGGUAAUACCAGCACCCCGAGUGGUCGGGACGAUUAUUGGGCCUAAAGCAUCCGUAGCCGGUUCUACAAGUCUUCCGUUAAAUCCACCUGCUUAACAGAUGGGCUGCGGAGGAUACUAUGGAGCUAGGAGGCGGGAGAGGCAAGCGGUACUUAGUGGGUAGGGGUAAAAUCCGUUGAUCCAUUGAAGACCACCAGUGGCGAAGGCGGCUUGCCAGAACGCACUCGACGGUGAGGGAUGAAAGCUGGGGGAGCAAACCGGAUUAGAUACCCGGGUAGUCCCAGCUGUAAACGAUGCAGACUCGGUGAUGAAUAGGCUUCGUGCCUAUUCAGUGCCGCAGGGAUGCCGUUAAGUCUGCCGCCUGGGGGAGUACGGUCGCAAGACUGAAAACUUAAAGGAAUUUGGCGGGGGAGCACCACAAGGGGGUGAAGCCUGCGGUUCAUUUGGAGUUAACGCCUGAAAUCUUACCGGGGGCGAACCGCGCAAUGAAAGGUCAAGCUUUUAGACUUUACUAGACAA